rnacentral:rRNA from 1 species
UCAACUUAAGAGUUUGAUCCUGGCUCAGAACGAACGCUGGCGGCAGGCCUAACACAUGCAAGUCGAACGAUAAGCCACCUUCGGGUGGUGGACAGUGGCAGACGGGUGAGUAACGC